GCCCGCCUAGCUCAAUCGGAUAGAGCGUCAGACUUUUAAGGCUGACUAACUUGUUCAAGUAUAGGCCCGGGCAUCUGAAGGCUGCGAGUUCGACCCUCGCGGUGGGCU